UGGGGAAUUUUGGACAAUGGGCGAAAGCCUGAUCCAGCAAUGCCGCGUGUGUGAAGAAGGCCUUCGGGUUGUAAAGCACUUUUGUCCGGAAAGAAAUCCUUGGCUCUAAUACAGUCGGGGGAUGACGGUACCGGAAGAAUAAGCACCGGCUAACUACGUGCCAGCAGCCGCGGUAAUACGUAGGGUGCAAGCGUUAAUCGGAAUUACUGGGCGUAAAGCGUGCGCAGGCGGUUUGCUAAGACCGAUGUGAAAUCCCCGGGCUCAACCUGGGAACUGCAUUGGUGACUGGCAGGCUAGAGUAUGGCAGAGGGGGGUAGAAUUCCACGUGUAGCAGUGAAAUGCGUAGAGAUGUGGAGGAAUACCGAUGGCGAAGGCAGCCCCCUGGGCCAAUACUGACGCUCAUGCACGAAAGCGUGGGGAGCAAACAGGAUUAGAUACCCUGGUAGUCCACGCCCUAAACGAUGUCAACUAGUUNUGGGAUUCAUUCCUUAGUAACGUAGCUAACGCGUGAAGUUGACCG
rnacentral:rRNA from 1 species